CAGUGGUAAACUUGCUGUACCUUCCGCUUCCGAGGUAGACUCACUAUGUAGUUAAUGUCCGAGAGCUUUUGGACAACCUCGGCCGGGCCCUCCCACUGCAC
rnacentral:lncRNA from 1 species